CCUACGGGAGGCAGCAGUGGGGAAUAUUGGGCAAUGGAGGAAACUCUGACCCAGCGACGCCGCGUGCGGGAUGAAGGCCUUCGGGUUGUAAACCGCUUUCAGUAGGGAAGAAGCGAAAGUGACGGUACCUACAAAAGAAGCACCGGCUAACUAUGUGCCAGCAGCCGCGGUAAUACAUAGGGUGCAAGCGUUGUCCGGAAUUAUUGGGCGUAAAGAGCUCGUAGGUCGUUUGUUACGUCGGAUGUGAAAACCUGAGGCUCAACCUCAGGCCUGCAUUCGAUACGGGCAAACUAGAGUUUGGUAGGGGAGACUGGAAUUCCUGGUGUAGCGGUGGAAUGCGCAGAUAUCAGGAGGAACACCAAUGGCGAAGGCAGGUCUCUGGGCCAAUACUGACACUGAGGAGCGAAAGUCUGGGGAGCGAACAGGAUUAGAUACCCUGGUAGUCCAGACCGUAAACGGUGGGCACUAGUUGUGGGAACCUUCCACGGUUUCUGCGACGCAGCUACGCAUAGUGCCCGCCGUGGGAGGUACGAGUCGCGAGAGUAAACUACAAUAGAGUUGUACGGCGUUGAGACGUUGCCGAACGGCGACGACGAGGGGAGGUUAGG
rnacentral:rRNA from 1 species